rnacentral:tRNA from 1 species
GGGGGCGUAGCUCAGUUGGUAGAGCGUUCGCUUUGCAUAUGAAAGGUCCCGGGUUCAAGCCCCGGCGCCUCCA